rnacentral:RNase_P_RNA from 1 species
GACGGUCGGAUGGCUGCUCUUUUUUUUGGAGAGGAAAGUCCGGGCUCCACGGGGACACAGUGCCGGGUAACGCCCGGCGGGGGCGACCCUAGGGAAAGUGCCGCAGAAAAUAUACCGCCUAAAACUAUUUAUUAGUUUGGGUAAGGGUGAAAAGGUGCGGUAAGAGCGCACCGCAUAUGUGGUAACACGUAUGGCAGGGCAAACCCCACUGGGAGCAAGACCAAAUAGGGGUGGUUGUUUUUUGAGAAUUUUCUUAAAAAACAGGCUAGUUUCCGAGCCACCGCCCGGGUAGGUUGCACGAGAUGGUUGGUAACAUCCAUCCUAGAUGAAUAGCUAUCGGCUAAAUAUUGUAGUAUUUAGUUACAGAACCCGGCUUAUAGACCGUCUGA